rnacentral:rRNA from 1 species
ACGAAGGGGGCGAGCGUUGUUCGGAUUUACUGGGCGUAAAGGGCGCGCAGGCGGUCAUUUUUGUCGAGUGUGAAAUCCCCGGGCUUAACCUGGGAACUGCAUUUGUGACUGCACGGCUAGAGUGUGUCAGAGGGGGGUAGAAUUCCACGUGUAGCAGUGAAAUGCGUAGAUAUGUGGAGGAAUACCGAUGGCGAAGGCAGCCCCCUGGGAUAACACUGACGCUCAUGCACGAAAGCGUGGGGAGCAAACGGGA